AUAAACAAAAGUAAAGAGGAUUGUGAACCUACGGUUUGGAAAAUGCAGAUCCAACGGUAGUCCUCGAUGAGAUCAACUAUCUACAGUCUAUACUGAACCUGAAAUGGGGGGAAAGGAGGGUGGUGAGAUUAUAAAAUCCCAAUGAGUAAACAGAUAUCAUCAUAAACAUCUAGAGUUGAGUACAUGGAGAUAAUAAAGUAAAUCAUCGUAAAUUGGGUCACAGCAUUAGAAUACAUUUAAUUUAAAAUACAUAAAAAGGCUUAUGAAUCUCAUAAAAACUAGGCUUAUGCCUUAAAUCCAUUCUUAGGGACACCUUGGCUGAGGCAUCCUACCUAGACCGUCAAGGCUAUUAAAAUUCACAUUUCACAUAAAUCAUGUUUUUGUUUUGAAAACAUAGGCAUUCCUUGGCAUUGGCUGAGUUCCCCCUCACGUGGUUGCUUGGCGUGAAGUGAACCCUAAGCUUUACCCCAGGAGAUACCCUACAUGCCUCUCCGUUCGAGGUAAGAAUAUAAUGGGGUUUACUACGCCCCUCUAAAAGGCUGGUCCACAGAAACCCCUUACUGUAGUGAUUAAUUAAUAUAUAAUCCACCAUACAAUAAAACUCAAUAACAUGAUAUGGCAAUUUUAUGAUUUGCAGUCUUUCAAGGCAACCAAACAAUUCGUAUUUCAAUACAAUUGCCAACUAGCCAAUCAUGCCCAAUUUAUCAUAAGCCAAUCAAUUUAAACAAUUAAAUUGUCACAAUUAACAGUCUCCGUGUACUCUAUUUUUCAAAAUCAUUAUUAAUUUCAAAACAAUUUAUAAAUUAAUUUCAUUGAAACACAUUUAUUCAUAAAACAUGAAAAUUUACCAUUUUAAAUUCCUUUUUCCAUGGAAUUCAUGAAAUCAUCUAAAAACCACCCUAGAUAAUUAAAAUGACAGUAAGUUUACUCACAAUGUCUAGAAUGCAGACUUUCAAAGCACUUUGUCUAUUGGUCCUCGGAUGCAAUUUCCUUGCCUUUAUCGGAGGACUCACCACCUUAACACAGUACAAAAUCGAAAAAUUCACCAAAUUGGUACUAAAUUGAAAUUAAACUAAUUUAGACUAUUAAUGCAUAAUAUGGAAUGCAAAAAAUGCACUGGUAACUAUCUAAACUCAGUAUUGGCCUAAUUCAUCUUAUCAUCCGAUUAAAGUACUAACGCGUCCAAUUUAAUCCCAAAUUACUCCAAAUUGUUUCAAUUCUUUUCCAAUAUCUUAAUUCACCAAAUUCAAAUCAAAUAACCUAAAAUUUGGCAAAACUAUCUUCACUUUUGUUCUUAAAAUUUUCGGCCAAUAAUGGUGUAUUAACACCGUGAUUUUUCCUAUUACUUUUCCACACCAUAAUUCAUCAUUUCUUAACCAAUUCUCCUAGAAUAAAAAUCAAACUCAUGCUCACUCAAUACAUGGUAAAUUUGGCCAUUAAUGGUUGUGGGAGAAAAUAAAUUCUUUUUUUAUUGUUUUGUUUAUAAAUAUGCUAAACUAACUAAAAACACUAACACAACUUAAAAUCAAAUCAAUCCAACAACUUUCUCUCUCCUAACCCAUUUUGAUCAACCACCAAUUCAUCAUAAAAACAUUUAAUUUAAGCAUGGAAAAUAAGGAGAAAUGCUUAGGGACAAUAGAUUUCAAGCUUAAGUUGAAAAAUCCUACCUUUUUCACUUGUUUUCCUUGAUUUUCCACACUUUUUCUCUUGAAAUUCCUCACCUACGGUUUGUUCUUCCUUUCUUUCCCUCUCUUCCUUGCUUGGCCGAAUAUUUGGAGAGUAAUGGGCUGAUUUAUGCUGAUUUUUAUGUUAAAUAAUAAAUUAUCCAAGCUUGACACAUGGCAUUUUCUUAUUGGUCCAUUUUUAAAAUUUUUAAAAUUUAAACAUUUUAUCUCCAUCACAUGAGUAGUCAAAGGUCAAAAAUAAGGAUAAAGGAAGACCAUGUGCUGGAAAAUUGUCCUGGUGGUGGAAAAUUACAAUUUUGCCCCUAGGGUGGUAAAAUUACUUUUUUACCCCUAUACUCCAAAUUAUACCGAAAUUAAAAUUUUUCACUUUUAAACCUCAAAUCAUACUCCAAUACUCAAAUAAUACUCCAAUAAGUCAAAUGGGGCCAAAUAAAUCUUUUCUAAAAAUUACCAUUUUGUCCCCAGGUUGCAAAUGAUCAUUUUGCCCCUAGAUAGUGAAAAUUUCGAUUCGACUUCAAAUUGAUCCUCAAACUCUGAAUUACCAUUUUGAGUCAUCCUUGGACUAUGACGAUCUUAAUCUCACCUUAAAAUUCCUAUUUGAUCUAGUUUGAGGAUUAAAUCAACUUUGUUGUACCUCUAGGUACAAUACCGACUUUUGUAAAUUUUUCAGGACUUUCCUAGCAUGCAAUCAUGAUAUCAUCACAUGUAUGCCAUGACUAGUAUUUUAUAAGGCCGGGCUUUACAGCACCACCCCCCUUAAAAUAAAAUUUUGACCUCAAAAUUUCACUUACCGGAUUCGAAGAAAAGAUGUGGAUAUUGGUUUCUCAUCU
rnacentral:lncRNA from 1 species